UACGUAGGGUGCAAGCGUUGUCCGGAAUUAUUGGGCGUAAAGAGCUCGUAGGCGGUUUGUCGCGUCUGCCGUGAAAGUCCGGGGCUCAACUCCGGAUCUGCGGUGGGUACGGGCAGACUAGAGUGAUGUAGGGGAGACUGGAAUUCCUGGUGUAACGGUGAAAUGCGCAGAUAUCAGGAGGAACACCGAUGGCGAAGGCAGGUCUCUGGGCAUUAACUGGCGCUGAGGAGCGAAAGCAUGGGGAGCGAACAGG
rnacentral:rRNA from 1 species